rnacentral:rRNA from 1 species
UACGUAUGGUGCAAGCGUUAUCCGGAAUUACUGGGUGUAAAGGGAGCGUAGACGGCAUAUCAAGCCAGAUGUGAAAUGCAGAGGCCUAACCUCUGAACUGCGUUUGGAACUGAUUAGCUAGAGGGCCGGAGAGGUAAGCGGAAUUCCUAGUGUAGCGGUGAAAUGCGUAGAUAUUAGGAGGAACACCGGUGGCGAAGGCGGCUUACUGGACGGCUACUGACGUUGAGGCUCGAAAGCGUGGGGAGCAAAC